rnacentral:rRNA from 1 species
CGGGCCCGCACAAGCAGCGGAGCGUGUGGUUUAAUUCGAUGUUACACGAAGAACCUUACAGGGUUUGACAUGCAAGUGGUAGGAAGCCGAAAGGUGACGACCCUUCGGGGAGCUUGCACAGGUGCUGCAUGGCUGUCGUCAGCUCGUGUCGUGAGAUGUUCGGUUAAGUCCGCUAACGAGCGCAACCCUCGCUGUGUGUUAUAUGUGUCGACACGGGACUGCCGGUCUUAAGCCGGAGGAAGGUGGGGAUGAUGUCAAGUCAGCAUGGCCUUUAUAUCCUGGGCUACACACACGCUACAAUGGCCAACACAAUAGGUUGCUAAGCCGCGAGGUGGCGCCAAUCCAUAAAGUUGGUCUCAGUUCAGAUUGUAGGCUGCAACCCGCCUGCAUGAAGAUGGAGUUGCUAGUAACCGCAGGUCAGCUAUACUGCGGUGAAUACGUUCCCGGGGCUU